rnacentral:rRNA from 1 species
CACGUAGGGGCCAAGCGUUGUCCGGAUUUAUUGGGCGUAAAGAGCUCGUAGGCGGUUCGACAAGUCGGGUGUGAAAACUCCGGGCUCAACCCGGAGACGCCACCCGAUACUGUCGUGACUGGAGUCCGGUAGGGGAGUGGGGAAUUCCUGGUGUAGCGGUGAAAUGCGUAGAUAUCCGGAGGAAUACCAAAGGCUAAGGCAGUGUCCUGGAGGGUGACUGACGCUGAGGCGCGAAAGCUAGGGGAGCGAACAGG